rnacentral:rRNA from 1 species
GACUGAAAUUACGCCUUCCAUGAAGACCGGAACUGCUAGUAAUGGCAGGUCAGCAUACUGCCGUGAAUACGUUCCCGGGCCUUGUACACACUGCCCGUCACACCAUGAGAGUUGGAAAUACCCGAAGCCUGUGAGCUGACCGUAAGGGGGCAGCAGUCGAAGGUAGAGCCAAUGAUUGGGGUGAAGUCGUAACAAGGUAAC